CGAAGAGUCGAGUUGUUUGGGAAUGCAGCUCUAAGAGGGUGGUAAAUUCCAUCUAAGGCUAAAUAACGGCGAGAGACCGAUAGCGCACAAGUACCGUGAGGGACAGAUGAAAAGCACUUUGAAAAGAGGGUGAAACAGUACGUGAAAUCACUGAAAGGGAAGCGCUUGAGGUUAGACGUGCAAGGUACGAUUCAGCCAAUCUUCGGAGAGGUGUAUUUCGUUGCCGGUGCAGACCAGCGUCAGUUUUGUGUGCUGGAUAAGGGUAGAGGGAAUGUAGCAGUUCCUUCGGGAGCUGUGUUAUAGACUUCUACUGGAUACAGCAUGCGGGACUGAGGAAUGCAGCGUGCCUUUAUGGCCAAUCCUGAGGGAUUGUGUACGCUUAGGAUGCUGGUAUAAAUAGCCUUAAACGACCCGUCUUGAAACACGGACCAAGGAGUCUAACAUGCUUGCGAGUAUGUGGGUGUCAAGCCCUUGUGCGUAAUGAAAGUAAACGUAGGUGGGAGCCUUUAACCGGGUGCACCAUCGACCGGCUCGAAUCCACGUGUGCAGAGUCUGAGUAGGAGCAAGUAUGUCGGGACCCGAAAGAUGGUGAACUAUGCCUGAAUAGGGUGAAGCCAGAGGAAACUCUGGUGGAGGCUCGUAGCGGUUCUGACGUGCAAAUCGAUCGUUCGAAUUUGGGUAUAGGGGCGAAAGACU
rnacentral:rRNA from 1 species